UCCCUGGUGGCUCAGCUGGUAAAGAAUCCACCUGCAAUGUAGGAGACCUGGGUUCAAUCCCUGGCUUGGGAA
rnacentral:tRNA from 1 species